AUUGAACGCUGGUGGCAUGCCUUACACAUGCAAGUCGAACGGCAGCGCGGGAGCAAUCCUGGCGGCGAGUGGCGAACGGGUGAGUAAUAUAUCGGAACGUGCCCAGACGUGGGGGAUAACGUAGCGAAAGCUACGCUAAUACCGCAUGUGAUCUGAGGAUGAAAGCGGGGGAUCGCAAGACCUCGCGCGUUUGGAGCGGC
rnacentral:rRNA from 1 species